rnacentral:rRNA from 1 species
UUUUUACUUUUAACCCGGCCCGGGGGUCCUUAGGAAAAGUUGACCCAAGGGCCAACCCUUUUUUGGCAACCCUGGGGACCCCUGGGCCCACCCUGUUUUCCCCCAAUGGGGGAAACGGGACCCCCUUUGACCCCGCCAAAACCUAAAAAAUUUGGGGUUUUCCCCCCCUUUUGGCCCCAAACCCAAUCCCAUUUUCAAAGUCUGGAAACCCUUUGUAACCAUUUCAAGGACAGCCUAAGGCCCACUUGGGGGCAUUUGCAAUUAUAACGCCCAAAAGGCUUCAGUUUUCCACCCGUUCCACGGGUACCCGGGUUCCAAAUGGCCAGUGAAGAAGCCAGAAUCAUCUGCGUUUACCUUGCAUAGAGUUUAAGUCGGAACCCUUGUUCCCUGGCCAAGUUGCCCUUUGGCUUUGCCAUUUGCAGAUCCCGCUGACCUCCGUAGAUUGGAACCGUCAAGCCAGACGUCGUCCCUUGUCAGCCAUGACGAAUCGUCGCGUUGUUAACUCGGUAACAUUGGCGAAUUCGAUAAGCCGUUUCAGUUUCGUAUAGUAGCAUGCUAAUCGCGUUUUGAAUAGUAACAUGAGGAUCAGGAUAGCAGGUAAGGUCCCAGGGGUUCCGGCUUUGUACAAAGGUGCACCACAGUUGUACCCGGAGUCGGUGAGGUAACCUCAGAAGCCCCUCUCGUGCUACUCGCUACAAACU